GAUGAACGCUGGCGGCGUGCUUAACACAUGCAAGUCGAACGAACAGACGAGGAGCUUGCUCCUCUGACGUUAGCGGCGGGCGGGUGAGUAACACGUGUAUAACCUCCUUAUAUGAGUGGGAUAACUUCGGGAAACCGGAGCUAAUAGCAGAGAAUAUAUUGAACCGCGGGGUUCAAUAGUGAAAGACGGUGUUGCGGUCACUUAUAGCUGGAUCCGGGCUGGAUGAGAUAGUUGUUAAGGUAACGGCUUACGAAGGGAACGAGGCGUAGCCGACCUGAGAGGGUGAUCGGCCACAUGGGAACUGAGACAGGGUCCAGACUCCUACGGGAGGCCGCAGUCGGGAACCUUCCGCAAUGGGCGAAAGCCUGACGGAGCAACGCCGCGUGAGUGAUGAAGGUCUUCGGAUCGUAAAACUCUGUUAUUAGGGAAGAACAAAUGUGUACGUAAAUAUGCACGUCUUGACGGUACCUAAUCAGAAAGCCACGGCUAACUACGUG
rnacentral:rRNA from 1 species